rnacentral:ribozyme from 1 species
CUAAAAGAGAAAACGAAGAGUAAAAAAAAGAGAGAGGGAAAGAGAAAGGGAGAGAGAGAAAGAUAUUGUAUAUGUGUACGUGUUCUUUCUUUUUUCCAUUCUCUCUUUCUCUCUCUCUCUUAUUUUAUUA